rnacentral:lncRNA from 1 species
GUGCAGCCCUGACCCAAGACGUCGGCCCCCAGAUGGGGACAGUUCAGUGUCCUGGGAGCAGCCCCCGGCUGAUAGUGUUCCAUCCUGGGACUGGAGGCGCCAGCAGGGCUUUCCAGCAGGGCAGGUAAUGGAGAAGAGGGGCUGGGGGCUGGGGUUGGAGGGCAGCUGGCAGCCACGCACUCAGUUCUCACUGCUGCACCUUUGCACAGGCCGCUCCUCCCUCCUGAACCUCCUCUUCCCUUUGCUCAGCUGCCUCCUACUCUCCCUUGACUGGAAAAUCACUUCUUAGAGAAACCUGCUCAUUGUCCCUCUGAAGGAGGCCCCCCAGCAUCCUUCUCUCAUGGCACCCUGCACUGUCCCUGCACACACAUUACACAGGCGCCACUGGCUGUCAUUUUAAGUCUGGAUGUGUGGGGAUGACUCCCAUGGGGACCUGGAUGUGGAUCCUUGGCUUACCAACCAGUGCCUGGCACUGGGCAGCAUUAAGCAAAACUUGGUGGAAUGAAUGGUUUAUGUGUUUCCUGCAAACAAGGCACUCUGCGGUGGCUCAACACUCAUCUCUUGGGUCUUCCUAACACCUCUGUGAAGGAAUGGACACGUUAUCCCUGUUUUCUGAUGAGGAAGCAGAUGCAGAGAUGUGGGAAUUGGGAAGGAGAAUCCUGGCUGGGGUGAUUUUCUAGCCUGUGCUUCCAGAUUAAAGGGAGAAGUUUGACCUGUCACUCCUAAGGGACUGGGUUUUUCUUUUUUCUUUUCCUUUUUUUUUUUUGAGACAAGAGUCUCACUGUGUUGCCCAGGCUGGAGUGCAGUGGUACGAUCUCAGUCACUGCAACCUCUGCCUCCUGGAUUCAAGUGAUUCUCCUGCCUCAGCCUCCCAAGUAGCUGAGACUAUAGGCACCCACCACCAUGGCCGGCUAAUUUUUGUAUUUUUAGUAGAGACAGGGUUUCACCAUGUUAACCAGGCUGGUCUUGAACUCCCGACCUCAGGUGAUCCACCCGCCUCAGCCUCUCAAAGUGCUAGGGUUACAGGCGUGAGCCACCAUGCCUGGCCAGGGCCUGGGUUUCUUGGAAGCACUGGAAUCUCAUCUUGAGGGGCCAACGGCUUCUGCUCCAGAAGCCAGGACUCUCAGGCAAGAUGCAAUCAAAGUAAAAACAGCAAUCAACUCAGAAAAUACAAACGUUGACUGCACCCCUUCCCAGCCACCAUCCCGCCUCGUUUUGAAAACUGCUUUACUGAGUUGGUUGGGUGGGCGAGGGGAGAGUUAUGAAUACACUAUUCUUCUAAGUAGAUCACCUACCUAACCAGAGAGAAGAGAGACUGAAGAAUGGGGACUGCUUUUAAGACACCAGGAAGUUAAAAAUCUGGGCUUCUCUGGGCAGGAACAAGGACGAGUUGGUUUUUCAUCUCCCCCCAGAAAUGAGGCCGCCCCAGCUGGGUGGCAAGGCAGGGUGGGGCAGCUUGCCCCUGAUUCAGGGCUCCACAGCGAGGGCAGGGAGGCCUAGGGAAUUGGAGAGGAAGCAGAAUGCAGAGAAAUGAGGCUAAAUCCAAAACUCAGAUUUCUAAAUUCAAAGGUUUCCCAGGGAAAAUGGGGUUUGAAAUGACUGAGUCUUGGGAACCAGAAUGAACUAGAUCCGGCUGUUGAAGAGCCCUGGGGGCACAUUUUAAACCGGGGAUGGGCACCAUUUCCAAUCCACACGGCGGCCAAUCUGAGCAGGCCGGCAGAGCGAAUGAACGUGUGGGCACGUGCAGGGUCUGCUACGGAGGAGGUGGGUGGGGGGAAGGAGGGGGGCCCGGUUUGCCAUCUGCCCUGGCAGGGAAGGAGGGAUUGGCCUUGAGCUGGCUGGGCUGGCUUCCCUUCCUUAAAGAUGAUUGGGACUGGAGGCUGCCUGGUCCGAGGGAACCUGUCAGUGACCUCUGGGUGGUCCUGGGAUCCACCUGGCUGUGAUGAUCAAGCUGGUUGGACCACAGUGAGGGAGAAAGACAAAGAGCACAGACCCUUUUGGCAGGAGGGAAUUAAUUCACUGGCCCACUCACACCCGGGGCGUGGGGAGCGCCAUCUGGGUCCCUUGGCAGCACAAAUACCCCUGAAGUCGGAAGACAACCAUGGGUGAGGCUGAGCUCACCUGCUGGCCAGAACUUUCCUGGUUUUGGCAAUGACAAGUCUCUGAAUGCUCCGUUUCUCAAGGGGACAGUCUAGGGACUACCUGCACGCUAGCAAACACUUAGUGGGUGCCUCUCGCUUGUGGACGCUACUGUGAAUAAGGCAUGGUUUCUGUCUUCAAAUUGCUGGCAGCAGGGUGACAGAGCACACAGACUCUACAGUGCAGUGAGGGAAGUACCCUACGGCAGUGACAAGCCCUACAGAGGACCAGAGGGAGAGCACCUGUCUUGGGUGGUCAGUGGACUGCUCAGAGGGAGUGAUGUCUAGACCUCAAGGAUGAGCAGCCCAAAACCAUGCCUUCUGAUAGACCCCUCCCUUGCUGACUUGAAGCUCCACCAUGAGACUUGCUUUGACCAAUGGGGCAAGUAGCAAACUUGGCACAAGAGGCUUUGAAUAAACUCUUCCUCUCUGGCUCCUCUGCCUCACCCAUGAAAAGAUGCCUAGCCUGGCCAUUUGGAGGAUGAGAGAGCACUGAGUCAGUUCAGCCUGAAGCCAGGCCAGACAAGGAGACAGCUCUGAGAUACAGAAGAGUCCAGCCAAGAUCUGCAAAGCCACCUCAUUAACCUGCAGCUGAGGGCAGAGGCGUGAAUGAGCAACCUGGACAAAGACUGCCCACCUCACCUACAGACUCCUGAGCUAAAUAAGCAUGUAAUGUUUUAAGCCACUGAGUCUUGUGAUUGUUCAUUAAGCAGCAACAGAUAACUAAUACAAGAUGGAACUGGCAGAGCUUGUGUAUGUAACAGGUAUUUAAGUCUACGACUUUUCCUCUAGGCAUAGCUUUAGCUGUCAUCAGAACCAUGAAUGUUUCUAUUACUGCUGUUUUUAGUAGAUAUUAUGCAAUUUCAGUGUAUUUUUUGACUCAAGUUCUUUGAGAGUUUUAAUUUAUAAGAGCUUUUCUUUCCCCUGUUUUGAUACAAAUUUCUACUUUUAUUGCAUGUAGUCAAAGGAUGUAAUCAAUAUUAUUUCCUCUUUCUGGAAUGUAUUGAGGUUUUCUUUGGUAGCCUUAUAGAUGGUGCUCUUUUAUACAUGUUCCCAUGAUUGUUUGAAAGGAGGUACAUUACAUUCUAUGUUUACAGCAAAGAAUCUGAUUCCUGAAGGCAGAAAAUAUACAUGUACACUUCACAAUGGUGGAUCCCAAACUGGGAUACAGACAAAUGGCAGGGGUGGGUUAUAUUUGCAUUCUCACACUGAUAUAAAGAAAUACCUGAGACUGGGUAAUUCAUAAAGAAAAGAGGUUUUAAUUGGUUCAUGGUUCCAUGGGCUAUACAGGAAGCAUAGCAGCUUCUGCUCCUGGGGAGGCCUCAAGAAACUUACAAUCAUGGCAGAAGGUGAAGGGGAGGCAGGCACAUCUUACGUGGCCAGAGCAGGAGGAAGAGAGAGAGGGGGAAGGUGUUACAUGCUUUUUUCUCUUUCUUUUUUUUUUUUUCUGAGAUGGAGUCUCACUCGGUCGCCCAGGUCAGAGGGCAGUGGUGUGAUCUUGGCUCACUGCAACCUCCUCCUCCCGGGUUCAAGCAAUUCUCCUGCCUCAGCCUCCCGAGAAGCUGGGACUACAGGCAUGAGCCACCACGCCCAGUUAAUUUUUGUAUUUUUAGUAGAGACGGGGUUUCACCUUGUUGGCCAGGAUGGUCUUGAUCUCUUGACCUCGUGAUCUGCCCACCUCGGCCUCCAAAAGUGCUGGGAUUACAGGCAAGAGCCACCACGCACUUUUAAACAACCAGAUCUCAUGAGAACUCACUCAGUAUCAUGAGAACGGCACCCAGGGAGACGGUGUUAAAGCAUUCAUGAGAAACCGCUCCCAUGAUUCAAUCACCUCCUACCAGGCCCCACACUGGGGAUUAUUAUUUGACAUGAGACUUGGGGGACACAAAUCCAAACCAUAUCAUGGGGGUAGGGGAGAAGGUGCCUGGUUCAAUACAGAGUCUUAAGACUCCACCUCAUUAGUAUUAAUUCAUUUGGUACAAGGAGGGCCUGGUAAUUGGGAUUUUACCCCCUUCCAUCCCAACCAUAGCCAGGUUCCUAUGAACCAAAGAAAGUCACUGACUGUUCUUUGAAUAACAUUAUGCUUUAUCUUUGAUUGUUUAUUGCUUUCGUAGACAGAGAAAGGGCCCUUAAAGUCUCUUGACUCCUCCCACUAAUAGCCUUGUGAAUUUGGGCAAGGCAUGCCAUCUCUCUGCACCGGUUUCACUUGUCAAAUGGGGACAACAACCCCAUCAAUUCUGGCUGUCGUGAGAACUCCCUGGCUUAUAGUGCCUGGCCCAGAGUAAGGCUCAGUAAUUGUGACCACUGCUGCUAUGAUGGCCUUGGAUUCCCGUGUUUGUUCGUUAGGUUCCGAUGCCGGAACUGGCUUUCAGGCCUCUGCUUAAAAGACAAUGACCUUCUGUCUCUUGCAAUGAGUUAGCAUUUACAGUUGAAAUGGGGCUCAGCACCCACCCACGUAGUCAGUCUUCAGCAAACCAGACAUGUUUCUAGAUUUUAUAUACAUAUGAUGUAAGCUCACUCAUUAAGCAAAUAUUCUUUAGCUCAGACUAUGUGUCCUGUGCUGUGCGGCUGCAAGUCAUGGUCCCGCCUGAAGGUAGCCUUGCCCUCAGCUGAACCCUGUCCCCGAGAUGCCUUCUCUACCUAUUCCCAUUCCCUGCAACUCACUCCAGGCCCCCUGGAGUGGUACCUGCCCCACUCUCAGGAACAUGCUUUGAAGUUAUGCUUUCAUAGUUCCAGAGUCCACAAGUCUGAAAUCCAGGUGUGAGCACGGCUAUGCUCCCCUGGAGGCUCUAGAGGAUACUUCCUCGGCCCUUCCAGCUUCUGGUGGCUCCUGGCGUUCCUGGCCUUGGCUGCCUCGCUCUGGCCUCUGCCUUCUCUACCCAUCAUCAGAACCUACCCACUCUGCUACAACCACGGCUUCAAAGUCAGCCAGGGAGAGAACAGGUCGGGCUUCGUGGGGUGAGGGUGUUGUUUCUGCAGAGGUGGUGGAGGGCCGGCCACAAGGUUAUCUAUAAAAGUAACCAGAAGGUCCGCUAGAGGAAUGCUUUUCCUGGGAGUGUGGGCUGCGGGGGCGUGUCCCUGAGUGUCAGGGUGUGGAGGGAGAGGAGGUGGCAGCUUCACAGGCAGCUGGGCAUGGCUGCUCUCCUGCUCUUGGACCUUCAGGGGCUCUCUGCUGCCCUCAGGGUAAGUCCACCUCUCAGGGUAACCCCUACUCACCUCCUGGGACACAGUUUAGAAGCCACGUCUUUUGGGAAGCCCUCCCCACCCUUCCUUUGGACACCUGCCCCACUUCUCCUUUGGCACCAUGACCACCUGUUACUUAGCCAUCUCCCAACAGACUGUGAACUUUCACAGCAGCAGUGAGCCUACUGUGUUGUAUGUUUGUUUGUUUUUGAGGCAGAGUCUCGCUCUGUCGCCCAGGCUGGAGUGCAGUGGUGCCAUCUCAGCUCAUUGCAACCUCCACCUCCCGGGCUCAAGUGAUUCUCGUGCCUCCUGAGUAGCUGGGACUACAGGCGCCCGCCUCAUACAAAAAAUGCCCAGCUCAUUUUUUGUAUUUUUAGUAGAGACGGGGUUUUGCCAUGUUGGCUAGACUGGUCUUGAACUCCUGACCUCAAGUGAUCCACCCGCCUCAACCUCCCAAACUGCUGGGAUUACAGGCGUGAGCCACAGCACCCAGCUAAGUUAUGUAUUUUAGUAGAGAUGGGGUUUCACCAUGUUGGCCAAGCUGGUCUCAAACUCCUGACCUCAAGUGAUCUGCCCGCCUCAGCCUCUCAAAGUGCUGGGAUUAUAGGCAUGAGUCACCGGGCCUGGCUGAUCCUGUUGUGUUGAUUGCUGGAUCCCUGGCCGCCAGUUCAGGGCUGGCCAAUAGGAGGUGCUCAUUAAAUGCUUGUAGAGCAAGGAAAGGGGACUCAGAUGGUCUGCAGAGGGUUGAAUGGUGACCUCCCCCAAAAUAUACGUCCACCUGGAACCUGUAAAUAUGACCUUAUUUGGGAAAAAAGGGUCUUUGUACAUAUAACUAACGAUCUUGAGAUGAGAUUAUAGGUGCCAACUGUCCUCAGAAAAGAAAGGCAGGCUGGGCGUGGUGGCUCAGGCCUGUAAUCCCAACACUUUGGGAAGCUGAGGCGGGUGGAUCACCUGAGGCCAGGAGUUCAAGAUCAGCCUGGCCAAUGGUGAAACCUUGUCUCUACUAAAAAUACAAAAAUUAGUUGGGCGUGGUGGCGGGCACCUGUAAUCUCAGCUACUCGGGAGGCAGAGGUUUCAGCGAGCCGAGAUCGUGCCAUUGCACUCCAGCGUGGGUGAGGGAGCAAGACUGUCUCAAAAAUAAGUUGAGCAAGGAUCCUCCCCUAGAGCCUUCGGAGGGAGCACGGCCCUGCCCACACCUGGAUUUCAGACCUGUGGACUCCGGAACUGUGAGAGCACAACUUUCUGUUGCUUUAAGCCCCCCAGUUUGAGGUAUUUUGUUACAGCAAUCACAGGAAUUAACAUACUGCCCUAUCAGAGAAAGCCUUUCUGAAGAUCUGCGGAAAAGAAGGACGUUAGGGAAAAGCCAGCCUCUGUGUAGGUAACACUCCGAGGGUGCACUUGGUCAGACACGAGUGAAUCUACACAUGGGGCAAACUUGAUGCCUUAUUCCCCCAGCCCCCAAAAUUGGCAUUUUGUCUUAAUGUGUAAGCAACAAGAUCCACAUGUUACUUUGGAGUUUUUCACUGACAACCAGCACUAGUGUCUAACACAGUGGGUUAAGAAAAGUGGGUUAACUUUUCUUGGUUUAAGAAUGUGAUGAGGCCAGGCAUAGUGGCUCACACCUGUAAUGCCAGAACUUUGGGAAGCCACGGCAGGAGGACUGCUUGAGCCCAGGAGUUUGAGGCCAGCCUGGGCAACAUAGGGAGACCCCUUCCCUAAAAAAAAUUAAAAAAUUAGCCGAGCAUGGUGGUGCAUGCCUGUAGUCCCAGCUACUCAGAAGGCUGAGGCAAGAGGAUGACUUGAGCCUGGGAGGUUGAGGCUGCAGUAAGCCAUGAUCACACUACUGCACUCCGGCCUGGGUGACACAGCAAGACCCUGUCUCAAAAAAAAAAAAAAAAGAAAAAAGAAAAAAAAAAACCCCAAAAAUCUGAUGAACACAUUAGAUUCAUGAGUCUUUUUCUUUUUUCUUUAAAAUACUUUAAGUUCUGGGAUACAUAUGCAGAAAGUGCAGGUUUGUCACAUAGGCAUACAUGUGCCAUGGUGGUUUGCUGCACCCAUCAACCCACCAUCUACAUUAGGUAUUUCUCCUAAUGCUAUCCCUCCCUUAGCCCUCCACCCCCAACAGGUCCCGGUGUGUGAUGUUCCCUUCCCUGUGUCCAUGUGUCCUCAUUGGUCAACUCCCACUUAUGAGUGAGAACAUGUGGUGUUUGGUUUUCUGUUCCUGUGUUAUUUGGCUGAGAAUGCUGGUUUCCAGCUUCAUCCAUGUCCCUGCAAAGGACAUGAACUCAUUCUUUUUUACGGCUGUGAUACAUGAGUCUUUAAACAAUGCUUAUGUGGGGUUAGGUUCUAACGUCAGCUCAAAAGGUGGAAAUCAAGGACAGUCAAAUUGACCUUGAAAAUGCCCUGGGAAGACCCCAGGCAGCACCCAACGAUCAGUGGCUGAGGCUGCUGGCUGCCCCCAGCAUUUGUUUUCCCGCUUCCUGUAGAAGGAGGGGCUGUAUGUUUUGGGGAGCAUAUGGCUGCCCAAGAGAAAGACCAUUUCCCAGCAUCUCUUGCAGCUAGGCUCAACCAGGUGACCAUAUUCUGGUCAAAGUGACAUGAGAAUGCACAGGCUGUGUCCUUGAAGGGCAGGGCAAGCCCUCUUUUUCCUCCCCACUCCCAGUGACUGGGUGAUGGCAGCACAGCGGGGUGCUGUCUGGGCCAUGGAGGCGUGUCAGAGUGACAGUUCAGAGGGGCUGGGCCCCUGCUGCUGUCAGACCAGGCCUGUUCACCUUCCAACUGUCAUGUGACAGAAAUCCACCUCCAUCUCAUUUAAGCCCACUAAUGUCUGGGUCUGUCACAGGAACCAACACAUUCCCUGACCUAUAUACACUGUUGCUCUGGGAGGCGAACACAGCAGGCUGUCCCCCAGCACUGGGGCAGCUGCUGUUCUUUGGUUGAGCAUUGGGUGAAGUUGUUGACUUGUGUUCAGGGUUCACAAAAUACCUCGCAGCUCACAAAGACUGCAGUGAGAUGCUUACACUAUGAGGGUUGGGCAAUUGAGCCUAGGAAUAUAAAAUCCUGGGAGGUGGAGGGGUUAAGGGUGCCGGACUCCUCAGCCCCACAUCUCAGCAUCUCUGGGGAAUGCAGUCUGAGAAUCGUUCAUGGGACGCAGUGUUUCCUGCUAUCCCUUGCACGGACUGCCACAUAUCCAGCUUCCUGUCCUCUUCCACAAAGCCAGAGGGGAAGGAGAGGAGGGUCUUUGACUGUGGAGCCACAGCCUGGGAAAAGGGACUGCCUUCUUUCUGGAACAUCGGCCACGGGCUGCUCCCCUCCUUUCCUGGAGCCUCAGUUUCCUCAUCUGUGCCAUGGCAGUGACAGCCCCUGCCUAGUGACUCAGCUCCCACCUGCGAAAGUGCUUUGUAAACUGCAGGUGUACAAGGUGGCAGCGAUGUUAUCGCCUGGAAUCUUUUUGGGGACCAGGAGAAGGGAGGGCUCCUGACAGUUUCCAGGAAAGGCAGGAGCAGCUGCUAUCCAGAAAUCUGCACAACAAAAUGUCUGCUAUUGGCCUAAGCCCAAGGAUGGGACAUGGUGGCCCCAGUGGACCGCUUCCAUGAAAUCUGCAAUUAUGGGGAAGUGGGGCUUAUUAAGGAAGCUGGAGGGGAAUGCGGCCCUGGCUUCUAGCAAUGCUAUAAUUAGAUUGCAGGGCCCCUUUUACUUUGCUGACGAUCCAGAAGGCCUUGGCCCGGGGCUUGUGCUGAAAUACCCUGGCCUCCUGGGCAGCGGGUGAUGGCCCAAGCCUGUCGGGGUGCAGAAGGACACUGCCUUUAUGUUGGGGGGAUGGGGUAACAACAGCUGAGGCUUGUGUAGUGCUCAUGUGGGGCCGGCGCCAUUCUCAGCCUUCACUUCAUCCUGGCAUCUGCAGGAGUCUGUCCUGUUCUCGGUUCACAGGUGAGAACACAGGCACAGAGAGGUCAAGGAGGUUGCUCAAGGUCACAUUGUGGCUAAGUGGCAAAGUAGUAAAGAAGGGGUAUGAAUGAUUGAAAUCAGGGGUCGCCAAACCACAGCUCGUUUUUCUUUUUCCUGCUACUGUUGCCUGGUCUUGUCAAUAAAGUUUUACUCAGCACAUGUGCCGAGGCAGCAUAGCAGAGGUGAAAGAGCCGGAACGGGGAAUUCUGCCACAGUGUGACCUUGUAGAAGACACUCUGGGCUUUCUAAUCUGUAAAAUGAUGGGGGUUUGCUUUAGAUCGGGGUCACUGCACUUGAUGCAAAGGGCCAGAUGGUAAAUAUUUUAGGCUUUGCAGGUCAUAAGGUCUCUGUUGCUACUCAACUCUGUUACAUGCAGCAACUAUUGACAAUAUGUAAACUAAUGGGCAUGGCUGUAUUCCAAUAAAACUUUAUUCACAAAACCAGGCAACAGCAGCACAAAAAAAAAAAAAAAAAAAGAGGGCCAUGGUUUGCCAACCCCUGAUUUUGAUCAUUCACGUCGCUUCUUUACUACUUUGCCUCACGAAAUUCAUGUUUUUAAUACUUUUCUUUAUACGAAUUCACCGGUAUUCCUUAGAGCUUAGCAACACCAUAGGUUUGAUGACCUAAACAAAUACAGGUUUGUAUUUGUGGCAUACAUGUGAAAAUAAACUUGUGAGUUAAAAAUUAAAAAGAAAAGUGUGUGGGCCACCUAAACCAUCUCCUGAAGCACAGAGGUCCGUGCUCUGUGCUUUGGGAGACAUUUUUUAGUUCAAUAUAUUUUUUUUCGAGAUGGAGUCUCACUCUGUUGUCCAGGCUGGAGAGCAGUGGCACGAUCUCGGCUCACUGCAACCUCUACCUCCCGGGUUCAAGUGAUUCUCCUGCCUCAGCCUCCCGAGUAGCUGGGACUACAGGCACGUGCCACCAUGCCCGGCUAAUUUUUUAUAUUUUUAGUAGAGAUGGGGUUUCACCAUGUUAGCCAGGAUGGUCUCCAUCUCCUGACUUUGCGAUGACCCACCUUGGCCUCCCAAAGUGCUGGGAUUACAGGCGUAAGCCACCGCGCCAGGCCUAGGUCAGUGUUUUUCAAAUCACUGAGGUGUUGAGGGGGAAGAGGAGUCUGGGUGGGGGAGGUCAGGCCUGUACCCUGACUUGGAACAAAGCAGUUUUGCUUAAUCUGUUUAAGACAUUUGUUUGGGAAACGGGUUCUGGGGCCAAAGGAGUUUGGAACCAUCUAGAAGUGGCUUCAAAAUGAACUUGAGGCCUGUGCAGUGGCUCAUGCCUGUAAUCCCAGCACUUUGGGAGGACGAGGCAGGAGGAUUAUCUGAGGUCAGGAGUUCAUGACCAGUCUGGCCAACAUGGCAAAACCUCACCUCUACUAAAGAUACAAAACUUAGCCAGGCAUAGUGGUGCAUGCCUGUAAUCUCAGCUACUUGGGAGGAUGAAGUGGGAGGACUGCUUGAACCCAGAGAGGCAGGGGCUGCAGUGAGCCAAGAUCGCGCCACUGCACUCCAGGCUGGGCGACAGAGUGAGACUCCAUCUCAAAAAAAAAAAAAAUAAAAUAAAAAAAUUAACUUGAAGCAUUGAAGCUAUGAGAUUUCCCAGGUCUGUCUACACGGGGCUGUUAGUUCCCAUGCUGACUCUUAGAUUUCUUUUUUUUUCCCUUUUUUUUUGGGAGACAGCAUCUCACUCCAUUGCCCAGGCUGGAGUGCGAUGGUGUGAUCAUGGCUCACUGCAGCCUCGACCUCCUGGGCUCAAGUGAUCCUCCCACCUCAGCCUCCUGAGUAGCUGGGACCACAGGCCCA